UGUUCUUAAGCGAAUGGUGAGCAAUUUGUCUUCGAAACAAAUUUUUAUUGGUUCGAGUCCAAUAGGAACAA